rnacentral:rRNA from 1 species
UACGUAGGGGGCAAGCGUUGUCCGGAUUUAUUGGGCGUAAAGAGUGUGUAGGCGGCCAGACAGGUCAGCUGUGAAAACUCGAGGCUCAACCUCGAGACGUCGGUUGAAACCGUCUGGCUAGAGUCCGGAAGAGGAGAGUGGAAUUCCUGGUGUAGCGGUGAAAUGCGCAGAUAUCAGGAGGAACACCGAUGGCGAAGGCAGGUCUCUGGGCAUUAACUGACGCUGAGGAGCGAAAGCAUGGGGAGCGAACAGG